rnacentral:rRNA from 1 species
UCCAGAGGGGGCAAGCGUUAUUCGGAAUUAUUGGGCGUAAAGGGCGUGUAGGCGGCUUGGCAAGUGGAUGGUGAAAUCCCUCGGCUUAACCGAGGAACUGCCGUCCAAACUGCUUAGCUUGAGACCGGGAGAGGUGAGUGGAAUUCCCAGUGUAGCGGUGAAAUGCGUAGAUAUUGGGAGGAACACCAGUGGCGAAGGCGGCUCACUGGACCGGUACUGACGCUGAGGCGCGAAAGCGUGGGGAGCAAACGGG